rnacentral:pre_miRNA from 1 species
AAAAAAAACUACCACAAGUGGUCGGUUUUUUACUAAAUUAAUUAUUAAUUUAGUAAAAAACCGACCACUUGUGGUAGUUUUUUUUUAA